GCACAUGCUUGGGAGUGUCAAUACUAAGAGUAUCCUGGGGAACAGGGCAAACCAACUCCUUUUCUGUUUCUCCUUUUCAGCAAAGGAGCAGAGGUGCUACCUCGACCCGAAUGUCUGGUCUUUGGAGAAGGAAAAUUUGAAGUGGAUUGGACUUAAGCCUGAGCCAUCACCUACCUGAUUCAGCUUGUGAGGUUUACUGCUGCGUAAAGGUGUUUUUGUCCAGAUAUGCAAAGAUACCUAGAAGGUUCACAGAUGGGCACCCUCUCCUUCUCAGGAAAAUGAACUAAUAUUGAGUGCUUCUUGCCAUCCAGGGACUCCGCACCCAUAAUCUCAUCUCUACCUCAUCAAUCACAUCUAUCUCAAGCCUGCUGGCAUCCAACACAAGGUUAUGCUUCUGUUUUUAUUCUUUCAAAAUGAGAGUGAGAGACAGGGAGAGGGAGAGGGAGAGGGAGAGGGAGUCAAAAAUGGUGUCCUACCAUCUCCCCUUACUAAUCCUCUCCACUCCAGGCCUUUCCACAUCUGAACGAAAUAUCUGACCCUUCUCAGCCGGACCCACCCCUAACAUCUGUGGGGCCUGGGCAAGACUGCGACUGGAGAUCCAUGUACCAUAUGUCUAAAUAUUUGAAAGUUAGAACAUAUCUCUAAACACAGACACUUCAUGCCUGGAUCAGAUAUAUUCACCGAGACUUAUAUACAAGAACCAAUUAAAGUAGCAUAAACUGGAAACGGUGUAAAUGUUCAACAAUGGGGCAUUUUGAUUAAUUAUAGUAUCCAUUCAUAUAAUAGAAUAACAAUGAGCUAUUAAAAAUUGUUAAUAAUAUAGGGGCGCCUGGGUGGCUCAGUAGGUUAAGUGUCCGACUUCAGCUCAGGUCACAAUCUCAUGGUCCGUGAGUUCGAGCCCCGCAUCAGGCUCUGGGCUGAUGGCUCAGAGCCUGGAGCCUGCUUCCCAUUCUGUGUCCCCCCCCUCUCUCUGCCCCUCCCCUGUUCAUGUUCUGUCUCUCUCUGUCUCAAAAAUAAAUAAAUGUAAAAAAAAAUUUAAAAAAAUUAU
rnacentral:lncRNA from 1 species